rnacentral:tRNA from 1 species
GGUGGCUCAGAGGUUAAGAGCACUGCCUGGUCUUGGCAGAGGAUCUGGGUUCAAUUCCCAGCACCA